rnacentral:rRNA from 1 species
AAGAUUAAGCCAUGCAUGUCUAAGUAUAAGCAAUUAUACAGCGAAACUGCGAAUGGCUCAUUAUAUAAGUUAUCGUUUAUUUGAUAGUACCUUACUACUUGGAUAACCGUGGUAAUUCUAGAGCUAAUACAUGCUAAAAAUCCCGACUUCGGAAGGGAUGUAUUUAUUAGAUUAAAAACCAAUGCCCUCUGGGCUCCUUGGUGAUUCAUGAUAACUUCUCGAAUCGCAUGGCCUUGUGCCGGCGAUGGUUCAUUCAAAUUUCUUCCCUAUCAACUUUCGAUGUUUGGGUAGUGGCCAAACAUGGUUGCAACGGGUAACGGAGGGUUAGGGCUCGACCCCGGAGAAGGAGCCUGAGAAACGGCUACUACAUCCAAGGAAGGCAGCAGGCGCGCAAAUUACCCAAUCCCGACACGGGGAGGUAGUGACAAUAAAUACUGAUACAGGGCUCUUUUGGGUCUUGUAAUUGGAAUGAGUACAAUUUAAAUCCCUUAACGAGGAACAAUUGGAGGGCAAGUCUGGUGCCAGCAGCCGCGGUAAUUCCAGCUCCAAUAGCGUAUAUUAAAGUUGUUGUGGUUAAAAAGCUCGUAGUUGAACCUUGGGCCUGGCUGGCCGGUCCGCCUCACCGCGUGUACUGGUCCGGCCGGGCCUUUCCCUCUGUGGAACCCCAUGCCCUUCACUGGGUGUGGCGGGGAAACAGGACUUUUACUUUGAAAAAAUUAGAGUGCUCCAGGCAGGCCUAUGCUCGAAUACAUUAGCAUGGAAUAAUAGAAUAGGACGUGUGGUUCUAUUUUGUUGGUUUCUAGGACCGCCGUAAUGAUUAAUAGGGACAGUCGGGGGCAUCAGUAUUCAAUUGUCAGAGGUGAAAUUCUUGGAUUUAUUGAAGACUAACUACUGCGAAAGCAUUUGCCAAGGAUGUUUUCAUUAAUCAGGAACGAAAGUUAGGGGAUCGAAGACGAUCAGAUACCGUCGUAGUCUUAACCAUAAACUAUGCCGACUAGGGAUCGGACGAUGUUACUUAUUGACUCGUUCGGCACCUUACGAGAAAUCAAAGUGCUUGGGCUCCAGGGGGAGUAUGGUCGCAAGGCUG